UUGAAUUAAACUGAGCUUAAUUGGUGACAUUGGGGACUGGUUUAGAAGGUGUUCUAACCCAGACAAGAGUGCGAUCGACUUUUGGAGUGACUUCAGCUGACUUGUGAAAGCUCUUGAAGACUCAACUUGAGCAGGUCCAGAGACCGUUUGAGCUGAGUUUGGAGCUUCUGUUGGGCUGUUUUGAGCUUAGUGAUAGGUGGGUUUGACCUAACCAGAGCAAGUGAAACUCCCCUAUGUUCUAUAUGUCACUAUAGAAUGGGUUUGUUGUGCGCUUUUUGCGACUACGUGAUUGAUAUGAAUUUGGACAUCUUUGCCACCAUAUUUGAUAUGUUUGACAGUGUACCUCUAUGA